rnacentral:rRNA from 2 species
AUGUUUGUGACUGAGUGGCGGACGGGUGAGUAACGCGUGGGUAACCUGCCUUGCAGAGGGGGACAACAGUUGGAAACGACUGCUAAUACCGCAUAAUAGAUCAAGACCGCAUGAUCAUGAUCUUAAAGAUUUAUCGCUGCAAGAUGGACCCGCGUCUGAUUAGCUAGUUGGUGGGGUAACGGCCUACCAAGGCAACGAUCAGUAGCCGGCUUGAGAGAGUGAACGGCCACAUUGGGACUGAGACACGGCCCAGACUCC